GACGAACGCUGGCGGCGUGCUUAACACAUGCAAGUCGAACGGAAAGGCCCUGCUUUUGUGGGGUGCUCGAGUGGCGAACGGGUGAGUAACACGUGAGUAACCUGCCCUUGACUUUGGGAUAACUUCAGGAAACUGGGGCUAAUACCGGAUAGGAGCUCCUGCUGCAUGGUGGGGGUUGGAAAGUUUCGGCGGUUGGGGAUGGACUCGCGGCUUAUCAGCUUGUUGGUGGGGUAGUGGCUUACCAAGGCUUUGACGGGUAGCCGGCCUGAGAGGGUGACCGGCCACAUGGGGACUGAGAUACGGCCCAGACCCCUACGGGAGGCAGCAGGGGGGAAUAUUGCACAAGGGGCGGAAGCCUGAUGCAGCAACGCCGCGUGCGGGAUGACGGCCUUCGGGUUGUAAACCGCUUUCGCCUGUGCCGAAGCGUGAGUGACGGUAAUGGGUAAAGAAGCACCGGCUAACUACGU
rnacentral:rRNA from 1 species